UUGUAGUAACAAAACAACAAAUGAAAUUAAAUUUAGUAAAUACUUGGUGGUGGAACUUACGAACUUCAGAAUCGUGAGCAAAGUCCCUAUUUACAAAUAAUAGAUAUAUAAAAAAAGACUUGUC
rfam:Kordia algicida OT-1 1103813601120 genomic scaffold, whole genome shotgun sequence.